CAUCUAAGUACCCGGAGGAAAAGAAAUCAACCGAGAUUCCCCUAGUAGCGGCGAGCGAACGGGGACCAGCCCUUAAGCUGUUUUAACAUUAGCAGAACACUCUGGAAAGUGUGGCCAUAGUGGGUGAAAGCCCCGUAUGCGAAAGUGUUUUAACAGUGAAAUCGAGUAGGACGGGACACGUGUUAUCCUGUCUGAAUAUGGGGGGACCAUCCUCCAAGGCUAAAUACUCCUGACUGACCGAUAGUGAACCAGUAC
rnacentral:rRNA from 1 species